GAUGAACGCUGGCGGCGUGCUUAACACAUGCAAGUCGAACGAAGCACUUUAUUUGAUUUCCUUCGGGACUGAUUAUUUUGUGACUGAGUGGCGGACGGGUGAGUAACGCGUGGGUAACCUGCCUUGUACAGGGGGAUAACAGUUGGAAACGGCUACUAAUACCGCAUAAGCGCACGGCAUCGCAUGAUGUAGUGUGAAAAACUCCGGUGGUAUAAGAUGGACCCGCGUUGGAUUAGCUAGUUGGUGAGGUAACGGCCCACCAAGGCGACGAUCCAUAGCCGACCUGAGAGGGUGACCGGCCACAUUGGGACUGAGACACGGCCCAAACUCCUACGGGAGGCAGCAGUGGGGAAUAUUGCACAAUGGGCGAAAGCCUGAUGCAGCGACGCCGCGUGAGCGAAGAAGUAUUUCGGUAUGUAAAGCUCUAUCAGCAGGGAAGAUAAUGACGGUACCUGACUAAGAAGCACCGGCUAAAUACGUG
rnacentral:rRNA from 1 species